UCUCUUUGUGCACCCGCCCACACGGUUUGCCGUGUUUUCACCCUUCUUUGUUCUCCACCGGUCUGGGCAGGGUCUGAGGACUCCGGAGAGCAAGGCAUGGGUCCGCCUCGUGCCGCAGGUAUCCUGGGGUCCUGUGGGGAGGGCUCUGCGGUGUGGGGCCGGGUAUGAUGACCCACAUUUACAGACUAGAGUUUCUGAUGUCCACGUGACGCCACUCCUUGUAACUGACCCAGGCCGGGGUGGGGGCUGCAGGCCGGGGUCUCUACGACCUGUGCUCAUUCAAUGAUCUCUUCCAGGUUCCUGGCCCACGCCAGCCGUACCCAGUAGCACAAUGGGAUUUGAGGACACACGCCAGCUGCCUACACCUGAAGAAAGGGCUUUGCUGCUACGCACUGACAAGUUGGACGGCUUUUUAUUGCUUUGUUGCCAGUUAUCUGAACAUGAGAGGCUGUAAGGUGUAAUCUGCGAGCCCUGCGCCCAGACUGAACCAGGGCCUCCCUUGAACAUGAGUAUUAGACAAAUGAAAUAAGAACUUAUCUUGCCCAGACUAUAUAAUGGCUUGGAAAUGCAUAGUUUCCUGAACGAUCUCAAUAAAAUACUUUUAAAAGUACUUAAA
rnacentral:lncRNA from 1 species